CAGAGGGGGCAAGCGUUGUUCGGAAUUACUGGGCGUAAAGGGCGCGUAGGCGGCCUGCUAAGUCGAACGUGAAAUCCCUGGGCUCAACCCAGGAACUGCGUCCGAUACUGGCAGGCUUGAAUCCGGGAGAGGGAUGCGGAAUUCCAGGUGUAGCGGUGAAAUGCGUAGAUAUCUGGAGGAACACCGGUGGCGAAGGCGGCAUCCUGGACCGGUAUUGACGCUGAGGCGCGAAAGCCAGGGGAGCAAACGGGAUUAGAUACCCCGGUAGUCCUGGCCCUAAACGAUGAAUGCUUGGUGUGGCGGGUAUCGAUCCCUGCCGUGCCGAAGCUAACGCAUUAAGCAUUCCGCCUGGGGAGUACGGUCGCAAGGCUG
rnacentral:rRNA from 1 species